UACGGGGGGGGUAAGCGUUGUUCGGAAUUACUGGGCGUAAAGGGCUCGUAGGCGGCCAACUAAGUCCUACGGGAAAUCCCUCAGCUUAACUGGGGAACUGCGUGUGAUACUGGAUGGCUUGGAUUUGGGAGAGGGAUGCGGAAUUCCAGGUGUAGCGGUGAAAUGCGUAGAUAUCUGGAGGAACACCGGUGGCGAAGGCGGCAUCCUGGACCAAUAUUGACGCUGAGGAGCGAAAGCCAGGGGAGCAAACGGG
rnacentral:rRNA from 1 species